rnacentral:tRNA from 1 species
GUGGUGGCUCAGUGGUAGAGCGUUUGCCUAGCAUGCAUGAGGCACUGGGUUUGCUCCCUGGCACCACA